rnacentral:tRNA from 1 species
GACGCGUGCGCGACGGACGGAGAUGCGCGCCGCGCUUUCACUGCGGCGUGGCUCGAGGGGCUGUUCACGACUGUCACGAGUGCC